UACGGAGGGGGGCUAGCGUUGCUCGGAAUCACUGGGCGUAAAGCGCACGUAGGCGGAUAUUUAAGUCAGGGGUGAAAUCCCAGAGCUCAACUCUGGAACUGCCUUUGAUACUGGGUAUCUUGAGUAUGGAAGAGGUAAGUGGAAUUGCGAGUGUAGAGGUGAAAUUCGUAGAUAUUCGCAGGAACACCAGUGGCGAAGGCGGCUUACUGGUCCAUUACUGACGCUGAGGUGCGAAAGCGUGGGGAGCAAACAGGG
rnacentral:rRNA from 1 species